AUUGAAUUUACUUGUUCAAUAGUUACCUUUUUACUUUGCUUGCUUCAAAACGUGAUCUACAAGUAGUUCAAAAAAUAGACUGAAAAGUCAUCUAGCUUAAUUACAAAGUAGUUUAUUCAGAUGCAUCUAUAUUUGUAAAACCUUGUAGAGCCAUACAAAGCAACGAUGGCAGAUCUAUUUGUGCUUUUUUCCAGGGCAGAAUGGCUACUAGAAGCAAAAAUUCCUUUUGAGUUAGAGGCUUAUGGACCUAUUUUAGCUAUCUAAUAUUAGAAUAGACUUCAAAAUUUUCAGAGACGUAAUGAAUUAUGAGGCUGUGAUGAGCUGUCAGCCAAUCCAGAUGCUUUUCAAGAUGGACCUGAACUUUUUUAAUACUCUGGCCGGGAGACUCUAUCCACUGAUGCAGCUUCUGAUCUCUAAAUGCUCAACUUGUCAUUGCCCUGCUCUGUAGUGGUGUGGGGAAAGGCCCAGUGCUUGUUCCAAGUGUGUAGAUCCCAGAUCCCAGCUGUUAUGUGGUCCCUAAGGAAACCCAGAAGCGUGAAGGAUGUUCAUUCUUCCUGAACUUCCUGAAGUAUUCAAGAGCAAAUGAGUAGGUUGUGACUUUCAAGCCUGAACAGCCUUUGUCUGAGAGACCCAGCUAGAGCAUUUUUUGGCCAAAAAAGGAUUGAACACAUGCACUCCAGAGUCAAAAUAAAAAAAUAAAUCUGAAUUUCUGCUUGAGUAAG
rnacentral:lncRNA from 1 species